rnacentral:rRNA from 1 species
GACGAACGCUGGCGGUGUGCUUAACACAUGCAAGUCGAACGGUAAGGCCCUUUCGGGGGUACACGAGUGGCGAACGGGUGAGUAACACGUGAGUAACCUGCCCUCAUCUCUGGGAUAACAGUCGGAAACGGUUGCUAAUACUGGAUAUGAGCUUGCAAGGCAUCUUGUGGGUUGGAAAGAUUUUUUUUGGUUGGGGAUGGACUCGCGGCCUAUCAGCUUGUUGGUGAGGUAGUGGCUCACCAAGGCUUCGACGGGUAGCCGGCCUGAGAGGGCGACCGGCCACAUUGGGACUGAGAUACGGCCCAAACUCCUACGGGAGGCAGCAGUGGGGAAUAUUGCACAAUGGACGGAAGUCUGAUGCAGCAACGCCGCGUGCGGGAUGACGGCCUUCGGGUUGUAAACCGCUUUCAGUUGUGACGAAGCUUUUUUGUGACGGUAGCAGUAGAAGAAGCACCGGCUAACUACGUG